AGCCCUAGAUUUGAGAGUUCAGCCACAGAGUGGUGGUCAUCUAAGCCGUGGGAAAAGAAGACAUCUCUGAGGGAGACGAGAGGAAAGUACACUGUCAGUGCUACUGAAGUCGUAAUUGAUUUCACAGCUAUGAAACCAUGGGAAGCCAAAGGACCUUCGUUAUAAGACAGAACUUGAAAAUCUGAAUGAGACACCACUUCCCCCAAGAACCACAAGAUCAAUAUACGACUGCAGCAGACGGAGCUGAACCAUGCAUUUACUACAUAAUCUUGGCUUCGGAUGAGUGCCAGGCGGCAGUGAGAUGUCAACCUGCUUGUGAGCCCCCAUUUCCACUGAUGGAGGAAAUUACUAAACCUUGCUCCUUUAAGAUGACUCAGCACCUUCUGAUUGGCCAUCUCUUGUGGGAAGCUUUGAUCCAAUUUAUUUAUCAAGCUGGUGAAAAGCCCUGGACAUCUAAGAUGACAGC